AAGCCUCGCAUUGCAGCCCUGCACGAAAUUUUUGGCAGAAAACGCCCCAGUUCCCGAAAUUUUUAACCAGGCAUCACGAUACUCCGCCCGCACGUGCUUUCACGGGGAAUCACGUGCUUUCACGGGGAAUCGGGGGAUUCGGGGUUAUGGCUUUGCGGUUCAAGGUCGGAAAAAAUCUGUUUCGUUUCAAACUGCCGAACGUGAAGGUUGGCGUCCGGGGAAGUCU
rnacentral:misc_RNA from 1 species